rnacentral:lncRNA from 1 species
CGCCUAUCCCCCAUCAGGGCACGGCAGCUCCUUGAGAUCCUCUCCUGCUGCUGCCCACUUCAAGCCGAGAGCUGCUGGCUGGGCUGGGGAAGCCCCUGCUUGGGGCUGUCAGGGUCGAAAGCUGGUGUGUCUCCUGGCUUUUGCCUCUUGUAAAACCAUAAGGUUUGGGGGGGCGGGUAUGUCUGGCAGGGGUGAGGAGAGACAGCACUUUGCAGAGAGGAGCGACAGGCCAGAAACCUCUGGGUGCCAGGAAGGCCGAGAUUCCCUGAAGGGACCACAAGGACAGGACCAAGGGCACCUCAGCAAGCCCAGAUGCUCUAUGACCACUAGGCAGUCUUCGAACACCCAAACCCCAGGACCUUUGUGCAUUCCUGGGACAACAUGGGAGCAUUCACAAGAAUAUCUGAGAGUGAGCUCCUGGCCACAUGGGGCUGAGUGAGAAUCAGAUCAACUCCAAGGAAAUAGAUGGCUAUUUACCGCCCACUGGGCUUCCAGGCACACAGGUGCAUGGCUCAGAUGUGCCACACCUGGCAUGGCCAGUCAUGAGCUCACAACUCUGCAGGUGACCAUGGUAGCCUCUGUCCAGCCCCCGUCUGUGUGCACCUUCACACAAAACACACACAUGGGGAUGGCCUGGGGUUCAUCAGUUCGGAUCCCGGGUGCAGACAUGGCACCGCUUGUCAAGCCAUGCUGUGGUAGGCAUCCCACAUAUAAAGUGGAGGAAGAUGGACACGGAUGUUAGCUCAAGGCCAGUCUUCCUCAGCAAAAAGAGGAGGGUUGGCAGCAGAUGUUAGCUUAGGGCUAAUCUUCCUCAAAAACAAAAAAACAAAAAACCACCACACACGCACAUGCCCAGAGAUACACACACACACAGAGACAUGAAUGCACAAUACCGCAUCCAUCUGCAGAGGCUCAGCCCAUCCUGGAAGAACCAGAUCCCUCACAUGAAACAAUCACAGGCACUCAUUAAGUACCUACUGUGCGCCAGGAACCUUUCUAGGGGUCCAAACAGGGAGUGACUCCAUCUCUGACUUCUGGGACAAAACAGAAAUGGACCAUUGCCUCAUCCUUCAGUGAGACAGCCUCUGCACGUGGUCACCUUCCUUUGUCAAGUGCCUCCCAUGGGGACAGUGCCACACCUCUCAGCUUGAGGCACUAGUGCUGGUCUGUUUCUAAUAAAAAUCUUCUCACCUCUAGGUGAUACUAUAAGUGGUGCAGAGAACGGAGAGAGACCCCAGGAGUAAACAGGCGAUAGGUUAUGACAGCUAACUGCGACCCGGGAUCCUGGACCAGGGCAGGAAAGGAAAACCACAUUGAAAUGUUAAGCGGUGGGGCAGAGCAUCUGAGGCUGACCGCAUGGCUCAGAAUUGAAAAGAUCCAACCCAGGAUCCCACAGUGCAUUUGCAGAGAGGAAAAGGAAAGGCAUUCCUGGCAGGUGGAAUGGUAGAGGCAAAGGCCAGGAGCCAGGACUCAUUACCACAUACUCU